AAUCCGAUAAGGGGCU
rnacentral:tRNA from 3 species